ACGAACGCUGGCGGCGUGCUUAACACAUGCAAGUCGAACGGUGAAGCGCCUUCCUUUUUGGUGGGUGUGGAUGAGUGGCGAACGGGUGAGUAACACGUGAGUAACCUGCCCCCUUCUUCUGGAUAACCGCAUGAAAGUGUGGCUAAUACGGGAUAUUCUGGGUCUGUCGCAUGAUGGGUCUGGGAAAGAUAUUGUUUCGGUGGGGGAUGGGCUCGCGGCCUAUCAGCUUGUUGGUGGGGUGAUGGCCUACCAAGGCGGUGACGGGUAGCCGGCCUGAGAGGGUGAACGGUCACACUGGGACUGAGACACGGCCCAGACUCCUACGGGAGGCAGCAGUGGGGAAUAUUGCACAAUGGGGGCAAGCCUGAUGCAGCGAGGCCGCGUGAGGAAUGGAGGCCUUCGGGUUGUGAACCUCUUUCGCCAGUGAAGCAGGCCUGCCUCGUUUGUGGGUGGGUUGACGGUAGCGGGAUAAGAAGCGCCGGCUAACUACGU
rnacentral:rRNA from 1 species